CUGGAGGUUAGUCUGUCGUCUCUCUACGAUUUACCUUUGGAGUUCGUGUUUGAGGUGUUUGAUCCUUGAAUCGAUGUAUUCUUCUCUAUUCUUCUGCUAUGAACUCAGAUGGAUGUGAUUCUCGUGAGCACAUAGAUGUGCGCAUGAGAGAAAAAUAUGAAUAGAUCGAUGAUUCAUGGGAAGAAACAAAGCAAAUGGAUAAAUCUUCAGAUCUAGUUU
rnacentral:lncRNA from 1 species